AAUUCUGAGCUCCACGGUUCCCGACGCUGUCGGCACAUGCGCGACGGCCCUGCUCCCUCUUCCUCCUCCUCCAGUGGCUUCCACCGUCCGGGCGGCCACCGCCACCGCCGCCCAGGAGUCAGGAAGUUCAAGAUGGCCGCCGCGGAGGCUCAGUCGCUGCGGGAACAGCCAGAGAUGGAAGAUGCUGAUAAUUCUGAAAAGAGUGUAAAUGAAGAAAAUGGAGAGGUAUCAGAAGACCAAUCUCAAAAUAAGCACAGUCGUCACAAAAAAAAGAAGCAUAAACACAGAAGUAAACAUAAGAAACAUAAACAUUCUUCAGAAGAAGACAAGGAUAAAAAACAUAAACAUAAGCAUAAACAUAAGAAACACAAAAGAAAAGAGGUUAUUGAUGCUUCUGACAAAGAAGGUAUGUCUCCAGCAAAAAGAACUAAACUUGAUGAUUUAGCUUUGCUGGAAGACUUGGAGAAACAGAGGGCCUUGAUUAAAGCUGAACUUGAUAAUGAGUUAAUGGAAGGAAAGGUCCAGUCUGGGAUGGGGCUCAUAUUACAAGGUUAUGAGUCUGGCUCUGAAGAGGAGGGGGAGAUUCAUGAAAAGGCACGAAAUGGAAAUAGGUCUAGUACUAGAUCUUCAAGUACGAAGGGGAAACUUGAACUUAUGGACAAUAAAAAUAGUACAAAAAAACGAAGUAAAAGCAGAUCCAAAGAACGGACUAGACAUAGGUCUGAUAAAAAGAAAAGUAAGGGAGGUGUUGAAAUAGUUAAAGAGAAGGCAACGAGGAGCAAGUCAAAGGAGAGGAAAAAGUCCAAAAGUCCCUCCAAAAGAAGUAAGUCUCAAGAUCAAGCAAGAAAGUCAAAGUCUCCUACCCUUAGAAGGCGCUCUCAAGAGAAAAUUGGGAAGGCCAGAUCUCCUGCUGAUGACAAGGUUAAAAUUGAAGAUAAAAGUAAGUCAAAAGACAGGAAAAAAUCCCCAAUCAUAAAUGAAAGUAGAAGUCGCGAUCGAGGCAAAAAAUCUAGAUCCCCAAUUGACUUGAGAGGUAAAUCCAAAGACAGAAGGUCACGGUCCAAAGAGAGGAAAUCGAAACGGUCUGAAACUGAUAAAGAGAAGAAGCCAAUUAAAUCUCCCUCUAAAGAUGCUUCCUCUGGGAAAGAAAAUAGGUCACCCAGUAGAAGACCUGGUCGUAGUCCCAAAAGAAGAAGUUUGUCUCCGAAACAACGUGAUAAGUCAAGAAGAAGUCGAUCUCCACUCUUAAAUGAUAGAAGGUCUAAGCAAAGCAAGUCACCUUCUCGAACUCUGUCUCCUGGUAGGAGAGCCAAGAGCCGAUCCUUGGAAAGAAAACGCAGGGAGCCUGAACGGAGACGCCUUUCUUCGCCAAGAACACGACCUCGAGAUGACAUCCUCAGUAGGCGGGAAAGGUCAAAAGAUGCCAGCCCAAUCAGUAGGUGGUCUCCAGCCCGAAGAAGAGCCAGUAGAUCUCCUGUUAGGAGGAGGUCCCGCUCCCCGCUCAGACGGAGCCGAUCUCCCAGAAGAAGAAGCCGGUCUCCUCGGAGAAGGGACAGAGGUCGAAGGAGCAGGUCACGCCUGAGAAGGCGGUCUCGGUCACGGGGUGGUCGUAGACGUAGGAGCAGAAGCAAAGUAAAGGAAGAUAAAUUUAAAGGAAGUCUUUCUGAAGGAAUGAAAGUCGAGCAGGAAUCUUCAUCUGAUGAUAACCUUGAAGACUUUGAUGUUGAGGAGGAAGAUGAAGAAGCCUUGAUAGAACAGAGAAGAAUACAAAGGCAGGCCAUUGUUCAGAAAUACAAAUACCUUGCCGAGGACAGCAACAUGUCCGUGCCCUCUGAGCCCAGCAGCCCCCAGAGCAGCACUCGCACCCGCUCUCCCUCCCCUGAGGACAUUCUGGAAAGGGUAGCUGCCGACGUCAAGGAGUAUGAACGGGAGAAUGUUGAUACGUUUGAGGCCUCAGUCAAAGCCAAGCAUAAUCUCAUGACAGUCGAACAGAAUAAUGGUUCAUCUCAGAAGAAGCUGUUGGCACCCGAUAUGUUUACAGAAUCUGAUGAUAUGUUUGCUGCGUAUUUUGAUAGUGCGCGUCUGCGGGCUGCUGGCAUUGGAAAAGAUUUCAAAGAGAAUCCCAACCUCAGGGAUAACUGGACUGAUGCAGAAGGCUAUUAUCGUGUGAACAUAGGUGAAGUCCUGGAUAAGCGUUAUAACGUGUAUGGCUACACGGGUCAAGGCGUGUUCAGUAACGUGGUCCGAGCCAGGGAUAAUGCGAGGGCCAACCAGGAGGUGGCCGUGAAGAUCAUUAGGAACAACGAGCUCAUGCAAAAAACUGGUUUAAAAGAAUUAGAAUUCUUGAAAAAACUGAACGAUGCUGAUCCUGAUGACAAAUUUCAUUGUUUGCGACUCUUCAGACACUUUUAUCACAAACAGCAUCUCUGCCUCGUGUUUGAGCCUCUGAGUAUGAAUUUACGAGAGGUGUUAAAAAAAUAUGGUAAGGAUGUUGGCCUUCAUAUUAAGGCUGUACGAUCCUAUAGUCAGCAGUUGUUCUUGGCACUAAAACUCCUUAAAAGAUGCAAUAUCCUCCAUGCAGAUAUCAAGCCAGACAAUAUCUUGGUUAAUGAAUCAAAAACUAUUUUAAAGCUCUGCGACUUCGGGUCGGCUUCACAUGUUGCGGAUAAUGACAUAACGCCUUACCUUGUCAGUAGAUUUUAUCGCGCUCCUGAAAUCAUUAUAGGUAAAAGCUAUGACUAUGGUAUAGAUAUGUGGUCCGUAGGCUGCACCUUGUAUGAACUCUAUACUGGAAAGAUUUUAUUUCCUGGCAAAACCAAUAACCAUAUGUUGAAGCUCGCCAUGGAUCUCAAAGGAAAGAUGCCAAAUAAGAUGAUUCGGAAAGGCGUAUUUAAAGACCAACACUUUGAUCAAAACCUCAACUUCAUGUACAUAGAAGUUGAUAAAGUAACAGAGAGGGAGAAAGUUACUGUCAUGAGCACCAUUAAUCCAACUAAGGACCUGUUGGCUGACUUGAUUGGGUGCCAGCGACUUCCUGAAGACCAGCGUAAAAAAGUGCACCAGCUGAAGGACUUGUUGGACCAGAUCCUAAUGUUGGACCCAGCUAAACGGAUUAGCAUCAACCAGGCCCUGCAGCACGCCUUCAUCCAGGAGAAGAUUUAAACGAGAUGAAGACGCUCCAAGGGUUUGAGUAAUUAAAUACAAAGACUGAAGAAAUUUCACAGCAGUUUAUUAAUGUAUAUAAACUUAUAAAUAUUUCUCCAGCAAAUUUGAGGAAGCAUGAUAUAUUUGAAUUAACACCAAGGGUGAUAUUUCCUUUAGAAAUGCUAGUUCAUCUGUUUCGUGUCUUAUGUGGAAUUUCACUGUAGAAAUGUUUCAAUUGCCAAGACUGCACAGCAUUACAGGGCUAAUGUAAACGGUUGCAGUUCUCAUAAAAGACAGAAGCACCUGUUAUCAAAUGAGUAGUAAUACUGGGUGGUUGAUUUAUUUUUAGCAAACUUGGCUUCAUUUUGGUCUUCAGAUAAAAUGGCCAGCAUAAAUGCUGUUUAUAUUCACGUUUUCCUAGGUGUGUGUGUGCAGGCCACAGCAGCAUGCCCUGGGUGUAGUCAGUGCCGAAAGGGGUCUGUUCCUUCUUGAGCCUGCCUGCAGGGAUGGUCUCCUCUUUUAAAGCAGGUUGUGUACAACAUUCAGUACACUGAAGGCAUAAACCUUCCACUCUUGAACAAAGCAGCUGCUUUUUAAAAGCGAGAAAAAGGAAAACGGGGCACAGGCCACUCACCGCCUUCUCCAAGGGGUCUGAUUUGCUGAGACACCAGCUUCACCUUCUUAACAAGGCACCUAAUUACAACAAGCAUGCACAUUUUGGUGCAUUCAAGAAUGGAAAAUCAGAGUAGCAGCAUUCUUCUGGUGCAGCUCAGUGGAAGAUGAUGACUCCAGAAGACAUGAGCUAAGGUUUCUGUCCUAUAAAAGAUUAAAAAAAAAAAAAGAAUCCUCCAUUUAAUUUUUGUCUGGUUUUUUAGUUUUCAGCAUUAUGAUUUGGGGUGCGUUACUGUGGUGCUCCUGUGUUCAUUGUAAAGUUUUCGCUUUAUCAUGCUUCCUGCCUCUCCCCCACUUCCGUCCCCUAGGAUGAGAAUAGUGGUCAGAUCUAGUAAUGUUGGCCAUGUGGCUGGUGAGAUUCCGCAUCACACGUGGUUGUCAAAAUUGGUCCCUAAGGAUUAUUAGAAAAACAGUAGCCACCAAAAAGAGCAUCCAUCUGAAGGUGUAGUCUUCCACAUUAGGUGUCACGUCUCCUUGGCUGAUGCACAAGGGUAGAAAGGAACCCUAAGAGCACUGCUCAGCUCCUGGGACGCCCUCUUCUCCAGCUCACCCUCAGUGUCUGUGUUCAGCCAGUGCUCCGGUCACGGUCUUGAAAUAGACCAGAUAUCCAGAGCGCUGCCAGCGUUCCUUCUUAAGGGAAAUGCGAGGGCACGUUCUGUAGAUCUUUGAAAUUCCCGAACUCAGCAUUCCUUGAUUUAUCUACUUGAAAGGAACCCCGUAAGCAGUGUUUAUCCACACACACGUAAUUGUUUUGGAGUCUGUAACGUUCUAAGGCAGAGAGACGUGGAGCUCUGCGAGCCCUCUGCUAGGUGGGCCCGGGGCACGAACAGUCCUCCGCAGACGCGCAGUCACUUGCUGUGUAGUUUCUCUCACGAAGGUUUUGCUGUAUUUCACUUUAUGGCAAAAAUGGUGCCAAGUGAUUGUGAGACUUCAGGCUCCAUAAGUCCUCGGACGUAACCCACAAAGAUGGCAUAGUUCUCUCUGUAGUUGGGGGAGUAGUUGAGCUCACGCAUUUUAGACGCCGUUCUCUGGGUAGACCUGUUCUCGAAGGUUAUCAGAAAUUAGGCUGGAACGUCAGGGUUUUGAAGGGAGUGUCUUGUCAUAAACUUUAAGACCCUCCCAGCAUCUGCGUUCACCCCCACCUUCCAGUCCUUACUAACAGCGUCCUGUUUCUGUCUUCGUUCCCCAGUGCCUGCUUCAUUCCACUCCAGUUUUUCUCAAAAUAAUGUUGUGUUUAAAAAAAAAUUCUUUUUUGCCAUUGUAAUUACUCCUUUCUUUUCCUGACUAAAACAAAUACUCAGGACAUUUUUACAGUCAUAGUGUUGUGGGUACGUGGUGGAGGCAGUGAGGCGCACGGUUGCCAGGUUUGUCCCUUUCUGCGUUCUUCCCCCUCCCCUCACCUGGGCUUCUCCAGCUGGCCGGGGAGAGGGAGAAUCUCUGAAACGGGAAUCGCAUGUCUUCAGAUUCAGGCCGAGCAGUUGAGGGAAUCCCCUUUUAAGUGUCGAGAUAGGAAAGAAGCCAGAUAUCGAAUGCGCAGUUACUUUAUGUUAGUUAUCAUGACGUUGUCAGAAAUUGGGCUUCAUAAAGUGUUUUCUUUUUCAUAGAAUCCUAGUUGAGGCGUAUAUUUAACGUGAAUUUUAUCAUUCUUUUCUGAGACGAAACGUCCUUAUAGAAAUGCUCACUACAAAUUCAUGUGUUUUACAUGUCAAUUAAUGUACACUAAAUUGACUUUUAAAAUGCUUUCCAG